GCAAACUUGGUCAUUUAGAGGAAGUAAAAGUCGUAACAAGGUUUCCGUAGGUGAACCUGCGGAAGGAUCAUUAUUAAGUAUGGCCUCCUGCUAGGGUGUUCUUGCCGCUAUCGCGGAUCCACUUUAUAACGGGGGCCAUACUUAAGACCGUCGUGAGACUCUGUGCAUUCAUUGGAAACGUUCUCUUUUAAUAGGAGAACGGUUCCCUUUUUUCCGUUAGACACUUUACCUUUGUCUGAUCUUUAACAAAAUUUAUAAAUACAACUUUCAACAACGGAUCUCUUGGCUCUCGCAUCGAUGAAGAACGCAGC
rnacentral:misc_RNA from 1 species